rnacentral:tRNA from 4 species
CGGGGAUUGGCGCAAUUGGCUAGCGCGCACGCAUGGGGUGCGUGAGGCUGCUGGUUCGAAUCCAGUAUCCCCGACAA